UAGGGAAGUAGGGGCAAUGGACGAAAGUCUGAACGAGCAACGCCGCGUGAGUGAAGAAGGUUUUCGGAUCGUAAAACUCUGUUGUUAGAGAAGAACAAGGACGUUAGUAACUGAACGUCCCCUGACGGUAUCUAACCAGAAAGCCACGGCUAACUACGUGCCAGCAGCCGCGGUAAUACGUAGGUGGCAAGCGUUGUCCGGAUUUAUUGGGCGUAAAGCGAGCGCAGGCGGUUUCUUAAGUCUGAUGUGAAAGCCCCCGGCUCAACCGGGGAGGGUCAUUGGAAACUGGGAGACUUGCGUGCAGAAGACGAGAGUGGAAUUCCAUGUGUAGCGGUGAAAUGCGUAGAUAUAUGGAGGAACACCAGUGGCGACGGCGGCUCUCUGGUCUGUAGCUGACGCUGAGGCUCGAAAGCGUGGGGAGCAAACAGG
rnacentral:rRNA from 1 species